CGGGAAACUGGGGAUAAUAUUAGAUAGCUAAAAGAUCCUGGAAUGUUCUUUUAUCCAAAGCUUUUGCGCCUGAGGAUGGGCCUGCGUCCGAUGAGGUUGUUGGUGGGGUAAUGGCCCACCAAGCCUGCGAUCGGUACGGGCAGUGAGAGCUGAAGCCCGGAGUUGGGGACUGAGACAAGGCCCCAGGCCCUACGGGGCGCAGCAGGCGCGAAACCUCUGCAAUGCGGGAAACCGUGACAGGGGGAUCCCAAGGGCGCAUGCAUUGCAUGGGCUGUUCUUUGGUCUAAGUAACCAGAGGAGUAAGGGCGGGGCAAGAUCGGUGCCAGCCGCCGCGGUAAUA
rnacentral:rRNA from 1 species